GAAGGAGUGUGUCGCUGUCACCUGUUUUACCUACAUGUUAUUGCGAUCUUUUUGUCAUGGACUAGAGGAACACAGUUGAAUUCUAGAGCUUGAGAAAGCAACAAUAAAGUUGCGAAACGUCGCUCAUAGAAGAAG